rnacentral:rRNA from 1 species
UACGUAGGGUGCGAGCGUUAAUCGGAAUUACUGGGCGUAAAGCGUGCGCAGGCGGUUUUGUAAGUCAGAUGUGAAAUCCCCGGGCUUAACCUGGGACUGCGUUUGAAACUACAAGGCUAGAGUGUGGCAGAGGGGGGUGGAAUUCCACGUGUAGCAGUGAAAUGCGUAGAGAUGUGGAGGAACACCGAUGGCGAAGGCAGCCCCCUGGGUUAACACUGACGCUCGAGGCA